AACUAACGCUAGCGGCGUGCCUAACACAUGCAAGUCGUACGAGAAAGUCGGCUUCGGUCGGCGAGUAAAGUGGCGCACGGGUGAGUAACGCGUGGAUAAUCUACCCUUGAGUUGGGAAUAACGUGCCGAAAGGUGCGCUAAUACCGAAUAAUACUGAGUGACUAAUGUUGCUUAGUCAAAGAAGGCCUCUGCUUGCAAGCUUUCGCUGAAGGAUGAGUCCGCGUACCAUUAGCUAGUUGGUAGGGUAAUGGCCUACCAAGGCAACGAUGGUUAGCUGGUCUGAGAGGAUGAUCAGCCACACUGGAACUGAGACACGGUCCAGACUCCUACGGGAGCAGCAGUGAGGAAUAUUGCGCAAUGGGGGCAACCCUGACGCAGCAACGCCGCGUGAGUGAGGAAGGUUUUCGGACCGUAAAGCUCUGUCGAGCGGGAAGAAAUGCAUGCUGGCUAAUAUCCAAUCAUGCUUGACGGUACCGCU
rnacentral:rRNA from 1 species